GACGAACGCUGGCGGCGUGCCUAAUACAUGCAAGUUGAGCGAUGAAGCUUGGUGCUUGCACCAAUUUGAAGAGCAGCGCACGGGUGAGUAACGCGUGGGGAAUCUGCCUUUGAGCGGGGGACAACAUUUGGAAACGAAUGCUAAUACCGCAUAACAACUUUAAACAUAAGUUUUAAGUUUGAAAGAUGCAAUUGCAUCACUCAAAGAUGAUCCCGCGUUGUAUUAGCUAGUUGGUGAGGUAAAGGCUCACCAAGGCGAUGAUACAUAGCCGACCUGAGAGGGUGAUCGGCCACAUUGGGACUGAGACACGGCCCAAACUCCUACGGGAGGCAGCAGGAGGGAAUCUUCGGCAAUGGACGAAAGUCUGACCGAGCAACGCCGCGUGAGUGAAGAAGGUUGUCGGAUCGUAAAACUCUGUUGGUAGAGAAGAACGUUGGUGAGAGUGGAAAGCUCAUCAAGUGACGGUAACUACCCAGAAAGGGACGGCUAACCACGUG
rnacentral:rRNA from 1 species